AACCGCGGUUAUACGAAAGGCCUAAGUUGAUGAACUACGGCGUAAAGAGUGGUUAGGGUGACAUAUUACUAAAGUUAAACCUCCUCUCAGCCGUUUCAAGCUUAUGAGGAUGAGAGAUACGUCCACGAAAGUGACUUUACAAACCUGAUUCCACGAAAGCUAGGAUA
rnacentral:rRNA from 1 species